rnacentral:sRNA from 1 species
ACAACCUGUACGUCCAAGCUCGGCUCAUCCAUCCCAAACUGCGGCCCCGUGGUAAUCCUUGGGGCCUAAGUUUUGCGCCCAGCCUGCGGGGAGAAGUCCCAUGGGCAGAGGCCGAACGGUUCUGGAAGCGGGCUGAGGGCCGUUUGGUUUCUUUUUUAGGUGAUUUCCUUCCUGCCAGGCUCCGUUGUAGGGGUUACAGAACAGUCGUUCCCGCCUCACAACCUGUGGAUACAGCUGUUGGGGCAGAAGAGACGGGACCAGCUGCUGGCCACAUUUCCUGCUUUAUUUUAAAAGCUUAGCAGUGUCUGCAAAAACGAAUCUUUUCCUACAACCUGUUAACUGACUGGACUGUUGGUAACAAAGUAAUUGUGAGAACCAUGUCGGUCAAAAAUUUGGCAUCUGCUGAAAAAAAUGAAUGCCAUUUUCAAGUUCCCAAAUUACUUCUAUACUGAUUUCACUUUCCAGAAAUGGAGAUAUGAAAAGAUUCUCUGGAAUCCUUGAAAGACUUAAUAGAGAUACAUGAGACUAAGUUAAUCUUGGAACAAAAUUAUACUUUUUUUGUCUUUCAUGGGAGUGAUACUCAGUUAUUGCAUAUCUUUACAAAAUUGUAACCUUUGGAGAAUUACAGUAUUUCAUCAAGAAAUUAGAGUUUUUACAUAAUCAAGAGCAUAUUCUAUGGAAUUAACAUUUAGUGGACUAGAAUUACAUAAGCAGGCCAUCAGUG